rnacentral:snRNA from 1 species
CUGCUCGCUUGGGCAGCACAUAUCUAAAAUUGGAACGAUACAGAGAAGAUUAACAUGGCCCCUGCGCAAGGAUGACACGCAAAUUCAUGGAGCGUUCUGUAUUUUU